GACGAACGCUGGCGGCGUGCCUAAUACAUGCAAGUCGAACGAGAGCGACCGGUGCUUGCACUGGUCAAUCUAGUGGCGAACGGGUGAGUAACACGUGGGUAACCUGCCCAUCAGAGGGGGAUAACAUCCGGAAACGGAUGCUAAAACCGCAUAGGUCUUCGAGCCGCAUGGCUUGAAGAGGAAAAGAGGCGCAAGCUUCUGCUGAUGGAUGGACCCGCGGUGCAUUAGCUAGUUGGUGAGGUAACGGCUCACCAAGGCCGUGAUGCAUAGCCGACCUGAGAGGGUGAUCGGCCACAUUGGGACUGAGACACGGCCCAAACUCCUACGGGAGGCAGCAGUAGGGAAUCUUCCGCAAUGGACGCAAGUCUGACGGAGCAACGCCGCGUGAGUGAAGAAGGUUUUCGGAUCGUAAAACUCUGUUGUUAGAGAAGAACAAGUGCUAGAGUAACUGUUAGCGCCUUGAUGGUAUCUAACCAGAAAGCCACGGCUAACUACGUG
rnacentral:rRNA from 1 species